rnacentral:rRNA from 1 species
GACGAACGCUGGCGGCGUGCUUAACACAUGCAAGUCGAACGAAGAGCGAUGGAAGCUUGCUUCUAUCAAUCUUAGUGGCGAACGGGUGAGUAACGCGUAAUCAACCUGCCCUUCAGAGGGGGACAACAGUUGGAAACGACUGCUAAUACCGCAUACGAUCCGACCUCGGCAUCGAGGAUGGAUGAAAGGUGGCCUCUAUUUAUAAGCUAUCACUGAAGGAGGGGAUUGCGUCUGAUUAGCUAGUUGGAGGGGUAACGGCCCACCAAGGCAAUGAUCAGUAGCCGGGCUGAGAGGAUGAACGGCCACAUUGGGACUGAGACACGGCCCAGACUCCUACGGGAGGCAGCAGUGGGGAAUCUUCCGCAAUGGACGAAAGUCUGACGGAGCAACGCCGCGUGAGUGAUGACGGCCUUCGGGCUGUAAAGCUCUGUUAAUCGGGACGAAAGGUCUUCUUGCGAAUAGUUAGAAGAAUUGACGGUACCGGAAUAGAAAGCCACGGCUAACUACGUG